UGAUGGUCCCCAAGAAGGACAAGACCACUAGAUUCUGUGUGGACUACCGGCGGUUGAACCUGGUAACUGCAUUUGAUGCAUAUCCUAUGCCACGCAUUGAUGCAUUGCUAGACCAACUAGCUGGUGCUAUGUUCCUAAGUAUUAUGGAUCUCAGCCGAGGGUACUGGCAGAUCCCCAUGACCCCUGAAGCGCAAGAGAGAU